UACACUGGAUGGCUCCGGAUGUUAGACCCU
rnacentral:piRNA from 1 species